CAGCCGCCGCGGGAAUACGUAGGUCCCGAGCGUUGUCCGGAUUUAUUGGGCGUAAAGCGAGCGCAGGCGGCUAGAUAAGUCUGAAGUUAAAGGCUGUGGCUUAACCAUAGUACGCUUUGGAAACUGUUUAACUUGAGUGCAAGAGGGGAGAGUGGAAUUCCAUGUGUAGCGGUGAAAUGCGUAGAUAUAUGGAGGAACACCGGUGGCGAAAGCGGCUCUCUGGCUUGUAACUGACGCUGAGGCUCGAAAGCGUGGGGCGCAAACAGGAUUAGAUACCCCGUAGUCCCUGUCUCUUAUACAC
rnacentral:rRNA from 1 species